rnacentral:tRNA from 1 species
AGAAAAGUAUUUAAAUAUUAUAAAACCUAAUUUGCAAUUAGAAAUUGAAAAAUUCCUUUUCUA